rnacentral:rRNA from 1 species
UACGGGGGGAGCAAGCGUUGUUCGGAUUUACUGGGCGUAAAGGGCGCGUAGGCGGCCCGCUAAGUCGAACGUGAAAUCCCCAGGCUUAACCUGGGAACUGCGUCCGAUACUGGCAGGCUUGAAUCCGGGAGAGGGAUGUGGAAUUCCAGGUGUAGCGGUGAAAUGCGUAGAUAUCUGGAGGAACACCGGUGGCGAAGGCGGCAUCCUGGACCGGCAUUGACGCUGAGGCGCGAAAGCCAGGGGAGCAAACGGG